UGGGGAAUAUUGCACAAUGGGCGCAAGCCUGAUGCAGCCAUGCCGCGUGUGUGAAGAAGGCCUUCGGGUUGUAAAGCACUUUCAGCGAGGAGGAAGGUGGUGAGCUUAAUACGCUCAUCAAUUGACGUUACUCGCAGAAGAAGCACCGGCUAACUCCGUGCCAGCAGCCGCGGUAAUACGGAGGGUGCAAGCGUUAAUCGGAAUUACUGGGCGUAAAGCGCACGCAGGCGGUUUGUUAAGUCAGAUGUGAAAUCCCCGGGCUCAACCUGGGAACUGCAUUUGAAACUGGCAAGCUAGAGUCUCGUAGAGGGGGGUAGAAUUCCAGGUGUAGCGGUGAAAUGCGUAGAGAUCUGGAGGAAUACCGGUGGCGAAGGCGGCCCCCCUGGACGAAGACUGACGCUCAGGUGCGAAAGCGUGGGGCAGCAAACAGGAUUAGAUACCCUGGUAGUCCAGCGCUGUAAACGAUGUCGAUUUGGAGGUUGUGCCCUUGAGGCGUGGCUUCCGGAGCUAACGCGUUAAAUCGACCGCCUGGGGGAGUACGGCCGCAAGGUUAAAACUCAAAUGAAUUGCGGGUCUAGCUG
rnacentral:rRNA from 1 species